rnacentral:rRNA from 1 species
AUGAACGCUGGCGGUGUGCCUAAUACAUGCAAGUCGCGCGAACGGACGAGAAGCUUGCUUCUCUGAUGUUAGCGGCGGACGGGUGAGUAACACGUGGAUAACCUACCUAUAAGACUGGGAUAACUUCGGGAAACCGGAGCUAAUACCGGAUAAUAUUUUGAACCGCAUGGUUCAAAAGUGAAAGACGGUCUUGCUGUCACUUAUAGAUGGAUCCGCGCUGCAUUAGCUAGUUGGUAAGGUAACGGCUUACCAAGGCAACGAUGCAUAGCCGACCUGAGAGGGUGAUCGGCCACACUGGAACUGAGACACGGUCCAGACUCCUACGGGAGGCAGCAGUAGGGAAUCUUCCGCAAUGGGCGAAAGCCUGACGGAGCAACGCCGCGUGAGUGAUGAAGGUCUUCGGAUCGUAAAACUCUGUUAUUAGGGAAGAACAUAUGUGUAAGUAACUGUGCACAUCUUGACGGUACCUAAUCAGAAAGCCACGGCUAACUACGUG